rnacentral:ncRNA from 1 species
UGGUCCUAGCCUUGAAAUCAAUUAUUACUUAAUAUACACAUGCAAGUCUCCGCACCCCUGUGAAAACGCCCUUUAAUCCCCAAUAGGGAUAAGGAGCCGGUAUCAGGCACAAAAAUCUGCCCAAGACACCUAGCUAUGCCACACCCACAAGGGAACUCAGCAGUGAUUAACAUUGAACAUAAGCGACAGCUUGAUUCAGUUAAAGUAAAGAGAGCCGGCAAAUCUGGUGCCAGCCGCCGCGGUUACACCACGUGGCUCGAAUUGACUUCUAUCGGCGUAAAGCGUGAUUUAAGUUCGCAACAUAUUAGAAUUAAACUAAAACUAAGCUGUGACACGCUUGUUAUAUAAGAAAACCAAAAACGAAAGUUAUUCUAACUUAACCCACUUGAACUCACGACAGCCAGGACACAAACUGGGAUUAGAUACCCCACUAUGCCUUGCCGUAAACUUUCAUUUACACCUCAAUCGCCCGGGAACUACAAGCAAAGCUUAAAACCCAAAGGACUUGACGGUACCCCAUAUCCCCCUAGAGGAGCCUGUCCUAUAAUCGAUAACCCCCGUUUAACCUCACCAUUUUUAGUACAUCAGCCUGUAUACCUCCGUCGUCAGCUUACCACGUGAGCGCAACUUAGUGAGCUUAAUGCCUAUACACCAAUACGUCAGGUCAAGGUGCAGCAAAUGAAAUGGGAAGAGAUGGGCUACACUUUCUAGUAUAGAAUACACGAAAGACUACCUAUGAAACCUAGUCAGAAGGCGGAUUUAGCAGUAAAAAGAAAUUAGAAUGUUCUUUUUAACUUGGCACUGGGGUGUGUACACACCGCCCGUCACCCUCUUCAAAGCCGAAAAUUAGUAUUUAACCUAUUAAUGCACAACAGAAGAGGCAAGUCGUAACAUGGUAAGUAUACCGGAAGGUGUGCUUGGAAA